UUUCUCACAGAAAGCAGCCACGUGCAGCCGACUGCACGGCCUGCUGUGUUAAUGGCUGGGAUGCACAGGGCUGCAGCGCUGGCGUUCUGCUGGAUCUGCUCUUCCUUCCCACAGUGACAGCGGAACGCGGCAGAAAGCGCAGCGAGGCGGCAGAGCAGCAAGGAGCUGACGUACAGAGCGCGGAGAUUGUGGCGAUCUGGGAUGCUGUGUCUGAUUACAUCCUGGAACAGAUGAAGCUGGACAAGGGAGUCCUGGUCCCGGGACUCGGGCUCUUUGCUGCGGUCCGAGAGCAAUUCCACAGCAAAGAAGUGGCGGUGUCGGUCCGAAGACCUGUCUUCCAGCUGGACAUCGGGGUGCUGUGGCUGCAGGACCUCCAGUCGCCCACCGACAUCAUCCCCGACGAUGUCAAGAUUGAGCGGCUGAACUACCGGCAGCUCUCGCGAGCCACCGGCAUCUCGCUGCACGUGGUGCAGCGCUGCGUGCGAGAGACCGUCCUCUUGUACUGUCACCUCCUGAGGAACAAGGCGCACGUCUCAUUCGCCUUCAAGAACAUCGGCGUUCUGACGUACGAGGACGACUUCCUCUGCAUGAGGUUCUUGUACAGCUGCAUUAAAACGCUGGAUAGCAAUGCCAGCCUGACUGCACUGCUCCACAGUAGAAUUUGGCCGGCCCGUUCUGCUGACUUCGGGUCAGAGACCACCGCUCAUGGGAUCCAGGUGUUGCCGAGGUUUCAGCUCGCUGUGAAAAAGAGCAGAGCAGAGGCCGCCGCAGAAAGGAACGCUGCAGUGGCGCGGAAGAUGAGUAGAGGGGGCACUGCCGGCAGGCUGCUACAGAAGCGGAAGACACUUCCCCCCUCCAUGCUGCUGCAAUACCAGGCAGGCUCGAGGCAGCAAGAUGUGGCAAAGAAGCCUUCUGCCAGCGUGCUCCCUGCCGUGUGCAGGCAGCUCCCACGGGAGAAAGCAAGCAGGACAGAAGGAACCAUCUACUCCUGCCCAGACCAGCACUGCACUCCCUGCGACAGAGGACUCUAAGAGAGUGCUGCAGGAGCUCCGGGAAGUGUCUGCCCUGUGGAAUGAAGCAGACCGCACGUGGCCCGUGUACCAGCAGCAGCGGUUUGCCAGUGCGAGCGUGUGGGCUCCGCGUCCUCCAGCCCAGCCCCGGGGACAGCAAGUGGGGAGAAGGUGGAGGAAGGAUGUGGAUCCUCCGCCGGGAAGUAAAAUGGGAACAGCGACCAAGCUGGCACUGCAUGCCGACCUCCUCUCCCCGCGAGCAGCUCAGGUGCUCCAAAGGUUGGAGCCCCACCUCCAUCAGCAAGAGGCUUUUGCUGACACCGCGGAAAGAAACCGGCAGAAGCUGGAGCUGAAGCGGCAGCUCCCCUGUGCUCGAUGCUCGUACCGCUCCAGAGGGGAAGGUGCUGGCAACAGUGCUGGAGCUGUCGGCAAGGGGGCUGGGAAGCUGUCCGGAUUUCCACCUGUGAAUGGCAAAUCGUAGAAUCAAAGACUUGUAGAAUGGCCUGGGUUGAAAAGGACCUUGAAGAUCAUCUAGUUUCCACCCCCCUGCAAUGUGCAGGGUUACCAGCCACCAGUCCGGGCUGCCCAGAGCCACAUCCAGCCUGGCCUUGAAUGCCUCCGGGGAUGGGGCAUCCACCACCUCUCGGCAGGCUGUUCCGGUGCGUCACCAGCCUCCGUGGAGUGAAGAACUCCCCCUAAUAUCUAACCAAAUUCUUCCCCCCUUUCUCAGUUGCAAACCAUUCCCCCUUGUCGUAUCACUGUCCACCCUCGUAUAAACAGCCGUUUCCCCUCCAGUUUAUUUCUUCCCUUCAAGCAUUGGAAGGCCGCAGUGAGGUCUCCCUGGAGCCUUCUCCUCUCCAAACUAAACAAGCCCAGUUCCAUCAACCUUUCUUCACAGGAGAGGUGCUCCAGCCCUCUGAUCAUCUUUGUGGCCCUCCUCUGGACUUGAUCCAACAGGUCUGCGUCUUUCCUGUACUGGGGGCCCCAGGCCUGGACGCAGAGUAUCCCAGAUAAAAAUAAAGAGAAUUGGCGUUCUUU
rnacentral:lncRNA from 1 species